UACGUAGGGGGCGAGCGUUGUCCGGAUUUAUUGGGCGUAAAGAGCUCGUAGGCGGCUCAGUAAGUCGGGUGUGAAACCUCCAGGCUCAACCUGGAGACGCCACCCGAUACUGCUGUGGCUAGAGUCCAGUAGGGGAGCGUGGAAUUCCUGGUGUAGCGGUGAAAUGCGCAGAUAUCAGGAGGAACACCAGCGGCGAAGGCGGCGAUCUGGGAAGAUACUGACGCUGAGGUGCGAAAGCGUGGGGAGCAAACAGG
rnacentral:rRNA from 1 species